rnacentral:rRNA from 1 species
CAUAUGGAUUGUGUCAGCAGCCGCGCGGUAAUACGUAGGGUGCGAGCGUUAUCCGGAAUUAUUGGGCGUAAAGAGCUCGUAGGCGGUUUGUCGCGUCUGCCGUGAAAGUCCGGGGCUUAACUCCGGAUCUGCGGUGGGUACGGGCAGACUAGAGUGCAGUAGGGGAGACUGGAAUUCCUGGUGUAGCGGUGGAAUGCGCAGAUAUCAGGAGGAACACCGAUGGCGAAGGCAGGUCUCUGGGCUGUAACUGACGCUGAGGAGCGAAAGCAUGGGGAGCGAACAGGAUUAGAUACCCUGGUAGUCCAUGCCGUAAACGUUGGGCACUAGGUGUGGGGACCAUUCCACGGUUUCCGCGCCGCAGCUAACGCAUUAAGUGCCCCGCCUGGGGAGUACGGCCGCAAGGCUAAAACUCAAAGGAAUUGACGGGGGCCCGCACAAGCGGCGGAGCAUGCGGAUUAAUUCGAUGCAACGCGAAGAACCUUACCAAGGCUUGACAUGUUCUCGUUCGCCGUAGAGAUACGGUUUCCCCUUUGGGGCGGGUUCACAGGUGGUGCAUGGUUGUCGUCAGCUCGUGUCGUGAGAUGUUGGGUUAAGUCCCGCAACGAGCGCAACCCCUGUUCUAUGUUGCCAGCACGUGAUGGUGGGGACUCAUGGGAGACUGCCGGGGUCAACUCGGAGGAAGGUGGGGACGACGUCAAAUCAUCAUGCCCCUUAUGUCUUGGGCUUCACGCAUGCUACAAUGGCCGGUACAAUGGGUUGCGAUACUGUCAGGUGGAGCUAAUCCCAAAAAGCCGGUCUCAGUUCGGAUUGGGGUCUGCAACUCGACGGCAUGAAGUCGGAAUCGCUAGUAAUCGCGUAACAGCAUGACGCGGUGAAUACGUUCCCGGGCCUUGCACACACCGCCCGUCA